rnacentral:piRNA from 1 species
AUGAACUAAUCCUUCCACCUUCC